CCUACGGGCGGCAGCAGUGGGGAAUAUUGGGCAAUGGGCGCAAGCCUGACCCAGCAACGCCGCGUGAAGGAAGAAGGCUUUCGGGUUGUAAACUUCUUUUGUCAGGGACGAAGCAAGUGACGGUACCUGACGAAUAAGCCACGGCUAACUACGGGCCAGCAGCCGCGGUAAUACGUAGGGGGCAAGCGUUAUCCGGAUUUACUGGGGGGAAAGGGGGCGCAGACGGCGAGGCAAGCCAGGAGUGAAAGCCCGGGGCCCAACCCCGGGACUGCCCUUGGAACUGCGUGGCUGGAGUGCAGGAGGGGCAGGCGGAAUUCCUGGUGUAGCGGUGAAAUGCGUAGAUAUCAGGAGGAACAUCAGUGGCGAAGGCGACCUGCUGGACUGCAACUGACGUUGAGGCCCGAAAGCGUGGGGAGCAAACAGGAUUAGAUACCCCUGUAGUC
rnacentral:rRNA from 1 species